rnacentral:rRNA from 1 species
AUGCAUGCAAACCCGGUAUGGGAUAUUUUGUGGAAGUUACAAAUUCCAAGCAAGGUGAAAAUUUUCGCCUGGCGUGCUUUACAUGGUAUUGUCCCAGGGAUGUCGAUCUUGGCAAACAGACACAUCAAGGUACAGCCUCAAUGCCCAGUAUGCAAGCAAGGGGCGGAAGAUAUGCGACAUCUGAUGUUUACAUGUGAAAGAGCAAAAGAAGUAUGGAAGAAACUGGGGUUACAUGAAAUAAUAGGUGAAGUCAUUCAAAUUGACAGGUCAGGUAGUGUGAUCCUUGAAGAAUUACUAACGCAACCGGCGAGACAUUCACCUGUUCUUGGUAGGUUGGGAUUCCGGGAGUCUUUGGUCGUUGGGGCUUGGUAUAUAUGGUGGCAGCAA